rnacentral:lncRNA from 1 species
UCAGCAAUAUAUUUGAUAAGAGUAUCGUGACACAUUUUUCCUUCUUGUACAAGAUCAUGACAACAUGCAUCAGUGAUGGUUAAAUUUUCAAAGACAACACCAAUUAUAUCCAACGCACAUUUUGGACUGAUUUUAAGAAGACAGGUAUCCCAUAGUGAUUUUGCUUCAGCUUCUUCAACAGAGAAUGCAGGAACGAACGCACAAAUCAAAGCAACAACAAUGAAUACGAUAGUAGUUCGGGAAGAAGUGUGAGCCAUUGUGCCAAUGUUUUCGAAAUAAGUCGCAAAUGUUAUUAAUAUAAUAUAUUAAAAUGUUUGUAUCUGGUAUUUUAGAAUGAAAUUUUGUCUCAUAUUUAUAAGAGAUUAAACACUCAAACACAAACAUAAACGUAUUUUCAAGUGAACAUAAGAAAUUAAUUAAUGCAGUUUAACGUUAAAUAAAAUGUGACCGUUAAUAUGAGUUUUCUCUAACAUAUUUAGAAAAUUUAGAAAAAAUAAAUAUACUUAUUGUUUAAACUAAAUACUAUCAAAAUAGAAUAUUUCUAAAUUAUUAAUGUUUUAAGUUAUUUUGUUGUUAAGAAAUAACCUGCCAAUCGAAUUUAACCAUUGUUUAUACGUAUUCUCAACUUUCUGUAAAUGCUAAUACGCUCCAACAUUUACAUAAAUUUGGGUUUACAAAUGUGAAUUUAAUCGAGUAUGGAUUGUCCAUUAUCGCGUAUCUUUAUUUUGUAAGAAUUUACUACUAGAAGAAAUUAUAUAGCUAAACCAUAACCAGUAUACACAUUAUGUAGAUAUAAUUUCUUAGAAAAGAAACUGGAACUGGCGAAAAACAAUAUUAGAGUUAAACAAUUAAUUUGCAAAAAUUAAAGGGUUGUAAUGUAUUAAAAAUUCUGAACCCAAAUCUACAAAUUGUAAUAAAUGAAACAAAAAAUGUGUAUAAUUUUGUUUCCAAAACUUUUAUGAUGGAUUUAAAACUCAAAUCCAUACGCUCCAUCCUAAUAUCAUUGGCAUAAGUUAUUAUCUACUUACUAGUCAUAGGAUAUUGUUCUUUUUUGUGAUUACAUCCAGUCUCAUUGUGUUCUUUGUAAAUGAUCGUAUUUACAAAAUCGUCGACAACAUGAGUAUUCAAAAUAGUUUUUUUUUCCAAGCCAUUAUAUUAGCAUGUACUACUAAACUCAAAGGUUUCGAAGGUGAAACAUUAGAUAUUUUCUUUGCUCCUUGUUUUAAAUUAUCCAAGAUAAUUUUCAGUGUAUGUAAAAAUAAUGAUUGAAAUCGUAGAGGAAAAUUAAUUUUUAAAAUUAAAGAUAAGUUAAGUCAAAGUAAUUAAGCAAUAUGUUUGAAAUUAUUCAUAUAUGUCUUGUUAUUAGUUUAACAAUCUUGUAUGGUUAGCACAUUGUUUUUCAAUUGAGUUAAUAUAUGUAUUGAUUCAUUUAGAAUGAGAUUCACUUGAUGGUCGCUUUAUAUUGCAUACUGUUUGAUCCACGAUUUUUGAUCAAAUAAAAUUUAACGAUAGUUAAAUAAAAAAUUUGUAGAUCAAUACAAGCAUAACAUAUUUUUAGCAGUUUGCAAACUGAGACACAAUGAGUCCACAAAUCAUCACUUUUCUUCAAAUACUCUGUUUCGUGGGCAACUAAAUGCGGCUUCUCAGCAAUAUAUUUGAUAAGAGUAUCGUGACACAUUUUUCCUUCUUGUACAAGAUCAUGACAACAUGCAUCAGUGAUGGUUAAAUUUUCAAAGACAACACCAAUUAUAUCCAACGCACAUUUUGGACUGAUUUUAAGAAGACAGGUAUCCCAUAGUGAUUUUGCUUCAGCUUCUUCAACAGAGAAUGCAGGAACGAACGCACAAAUCAAAGCAACAACAAUGAAUACGAUAGUAGUUCGGGAAGAAGUGUGAGCCAUUGUGCCAAUGUUUUCGAAAUAAGUCGCAAAUGUUAUUAAUAUAAUAUAUUAAAAUGUUUGUAUCUGGUAUUUUAGAAUGAAAUUUUGUCUCAUAUUUAUAAGAGAUUAAACACUCAAACACAAACAUAAACGUAUUUUCAAGUGAACAUAAGAAAUUAAUUAAUGCAGUUUAACGUUAAAUAAAAUGUGACCGUUAAUAUGAGUUUUCUCUAACAUAUUUAGAAAAUUUAGAAAAAAUAAAUAUACUUAUUGUUUAAACUAAAUACUAUCAAAAUAGAAUAUUUCUAAAUUAUUAAUGUUUUAAGUUAUUUUGUUGUUAAGAAAUAACCUGCCAAUCGAAUUUAACCAUUGUUUAUACGUAUUCUCAACUUUCUGUAAAUGCUAAUACGCUCCAACAUUUACAUAAAUUUGGGUUUACAAAUGUGAAUUUAAUCGAGUAUGGAUUGUCCAUUAUCGCGUAUCUUUAUUUUGUAAGAAUUUACUACUAGAAGAAAUUAUAUAGCUAAACCAUAACCAGUAUACACAUUAUGUAGAUAUAAUUUCUUAGAAAAGAAACUGGAACUGGCGAAAAACAAUAUUAGAGUUAAACAAUUAAUUUGCAAAAAUUAAAGGGUUGUAAUGUAUUAAAAAUUCUGAACCCAAAUCUACAAAUUGUAAUAAAUGAAACAAAAAAUGUGUAUAAUUUUGUUUCCAAAACUUUUAUGAUGGAUUUAAAACUCAAAUCCAUACGCUCCAUCCUAAUAUCAUUGGCAUAAGUUAUUAUCUACUUACUAGUCAUAGGAUAUUGUUCUUUUUUGUGAUUACAUCCAGUCUCAUUGUGUUCUUUGUAAAUGAUCGUAUUUACAAAAUCGUCGACAACAUGAGUAUUCAAAAUAGUUUUUUUUUCCAAGCCAUUAUAUUAGCAUGUACUACUAAACUCAAAGGUUUCGAAGGUGAAACAUUAGAUAUUUUCUUUGCUCCUUGUUUUAAAUUAUCCAAGAUAAUUUUCAGUGUAUGUAAAAAUAAUGAUUGAAAUCGUAGAGGAAAAUUAAUUUUUAAAAUUAAAGAUAAGUUAAGUCAAAGUAAUUAAGCAAUAUUGUUUGAAAUUAUUCAUAUAUGUCUUGUUAUUAGUUUAACAAUCUUGUAUGGUUAGCACAUUGUUUUUCAAUUGAGUUAAUAUAUGUAUUGAUUCAUUUAGAAUGAGAUUCACUUGAUGGUCGCUUUAUAUUGCAUACUGUUUGAUCCACGAUUUUUGAUCAAAUAAAAUUUAACGAUAGUUAAAUAAAAAUUUGUAGAUCAAUACAAGCAUAACAUAUUUUUAAGCAGUUUGCGAAACUGAGACACAAUGAGUCCACAAAUCAUCACUUUUCUUCAAAUACUCUGUUUCGUGGGCAACUAAAUGCGGCUUCUCAGCAAUAUAUUUGAUAAGAGUAUCGUGACACAUUUUUCCUUCUUGUACAAGAUCAUGACAACAUGCAUCAGUGAUGGUUAAAUUUUCAAAGACAACACCAAUUAUAUCCAACGCACAUUUUGGACUGAUUUUAAGAAGACAGGUAUCCCAUAGUGAUUUUGCUUCAGCUUCUUCAACAGAGAAUGCAGGAACGAACGCACAAAUCAAAGCAACAACAAUGAAUACGAUAGUAGUUCGGGAAGAAGUGUGAGCCAUUGUGCCAAUGUUUUCGAAAUAAGUCGCAAAUGUUAUUAAUAUAAUAUAUUAAAAUGUUUGUAUCUGGUAUUUUAGAAUGAAAUUUUGUCUCAUAUUUAUAAGAGAUUAAACACUCAAACACAAACAUAAACGUAUUUUCAAGUGAACAUAAGAAAUUAAUUAAUGCAGUUUAACGUUAAAUAAAAUGUGACCGUUAAUAUGAGUUUUCUCUAACAUAUUUAGAAAAUUUAGAAAAAAUAAAUAUACUUAUUGUUUAAACUAAAUACUAUCAAAAUAGAAUAUUUCUAAAUUAUUAAUGUUUUAAGUUAUUUUGUUGUUAAGAAAUAACCUGCCAAUCGAAUUUAACCAUUGUUUAUACGUAUUCUCAACUUUCUGUAAAUGCUAAUACGCUCCAACAUUUACAUAAAUUUGGGUUUACAAAUGUGAAUUUAAUCGAGUAUGGAUUGUCCAUUAUCGCGUAUCUUUAUUUUGUAAGAAUUUACUACUAGAAGAAAUUAUAUAGCUAAACCAUAACCAGUAUACACAUUAUGUAGAUAUAAUUUCUUAGAAAAGAAACUGGAACUGGCGAAAAACAAUAUUAGAGUUAAACAAUUAAUUUGCAAAAAUUAAAGGGUUGUAAUGUAUUAAAAAUUCUGAACCCAAAUCUACAAAUUGUAAUAAAUGAAACAAAAAAUGUGUAUAAUUUUGUUUCCAAAACUUUUAUGAUGGAUUUAAAACUCAAAUCCAUACGCUCCAUCCUAAUAUCAUUGGCAUAAGUUAUUAUCUACUUACUAGUCAUAGGAUAUUGUUCUUUUUUGUGAUUACAUCCAGUCUCAUUGUGUUCUUUGUAAAUGAUCGUAUUUACAAAAUCGUCGACAACAUGAGUAUUCAAAAUAGUUUUUUUUUCCAAGCCAUUAUAUUAGCAUGUACUACUAAACUCAAAGGUUUCGAAGGUGAAACAUUAGAUAUUUUCUUUGCUCCUUGUUUUAAAUUAUCCAAGAUAAUUUUCAGUGUAUGUAAAAAUAAUGAUUGAAAUCGUAGAGGAAAAUUAAUUUUUAAAAUUAAAGAUAAGUUAAGUCAAAGUAAUUAAGCAAUAUUGUUUGAAAUUAUUCAUAUAUGUCUUGUUAUUAGUUUAACAAUCUUGUAUGGUUAGCACAUUGUUUUUCAAUUGAGUUAAUAUAUGUAUUGAUUCAUUUAGAAUGAGAUUCACUUGAUGGUCGCUUUAUAUUGCAUACUGUUUGAUCCACGAUUUUUGAUCAAAUAAAAUUUAACGAUAGUUAAAUAAAAAUUUGUAGAUCAAUACAAGCAUAACAUAUUUUUAAGCAGUUUGCGAAACUGAGACACAAUGAGUCCACAAAUCAUCACUUUUCUUCAAAUACUCUGUUUCGUGGGCAACUAAAUGCGGCUUCUCAGCAAUAUAUUUGAUAAGAGUAUCGUGACACAUUUUUCCUUCUUGUACAAGAUCAUGACAACAUGCAUCAGUGAUGGUUAAAUUUUCAAAGACAACACCAAUUAUAUCCAACGCACAUUUUGGACUGAUUUUAAGAAGACAGGUAUCCCAUAGUGAUUUUGCUUCAGCUUCUUCAACAGAGAAUGCAGGAACGAACGCACAAAUCAAAGCAACAACAAUGAAUACGAUAGUAGUUCGGGAAGAAGUGUGAGCCAUUGUGCUAAUGUUUUCGAAAUAAGUCGCAAAUGUUAUUAAUAUAAUAUAUUAAAAUGUUUGUAUCUGGUAUUUUAGAAUGAAAUUUUGUCUCAUAUUUAUAAGAGAUUAAACACUCAAACACAAACAUAAACGUAUUUUCAAGUGAACAUAAGAAAUUAAUUAAUGCAGUUUAACGUUAAAUAAAAUGUGACCGUUAAUAUGAGUUUUCUCUAACAUAUUUAGAAAAUUUAGAAAAAAUAAAUAUACUUAUUGUUUAAACUAAAUACUAUCAAAAUAGAAUAUUUCUAAAUUAUUAAUGUUUUAAGUUAUUUUGUUGUUAAGAAAUAACCUGCCAAUCGAAUUUAACCAUUGUUUAUACGUAUUCUCAACUUUCUGUAAAUGCUAAUACGCUCCAACAUUUACAUAAAUUUGGGUUUACAAAUGUGAAUUUAAUCGAGUAUGGAUUGUCCAUUAUCGCGUAUCUUUAUUUUGUAAGAAUUUACUACUAGAAGAAAUUAUAUAGCUAAACCAUAACCAGUAUACACAUUAUGUAGAUAUAAUUUCUUAGAAAAGAAACUGGAACUGGCGAAAAACAAUAUUAGAGUUAAACAAUUAAUUUGCAAAAAUUAAAGGGUUGUAAUGUAUUAAAAAUUCUGAACCCAAAUCUACAAAUUGUAAUAAAUGAAACAAAAAAUGUGUAUAAUUUUGUUUCCAAAACUUUUAUGAUGGAUUUAAAACUCAAAUCCAUACGCUCCAUCCUAAUAUCAUUGGCAUAAGUUAUUAUCUACUUACUAGUCAUAGGAUAUUGUUCUUUUUUGUGAUUACAUCCAGUCUCAUUGUGUUCUUUGUAAAUGAUCGUAUUUACAAAAUCGUCGACAACAUGAGUAUUCAAAAUAGUUUUUUUUUCCAAGCCAUUAUAUUAGCAUGUACUACUAAACUCAAAGGUUUCGAAGGUGAAACAUUAGAUAUUUUCUUUGCUCCUUGUUUUAAAUUAUCCAAGAUAAUUUUCAGUGUAUGUAAAAAUAAUGAUUGAAAUCGUAGAGGAAAAUUAAUUUUUAAAAUUAAAGAUAAGUUAAGUCAAAGUAAUUAAGCAAUAUUGUUUGAAAUUAUUCAUAUAUGUCUUGUUAUUAGUUUAACAAUCUUGUAUGGUUAGCACAUUGUUUUUCAAUUGAGUUAAUAUAUGUAUUGAUUCAUUUAGAAUGAGAUUCACUUGAUGGUCGCUUUAUAUUGCAUACUGUUUGAUCCACGAUUUUUGAUCAAAUAAAAUUUAACGAUAGUUAAAUAAAAAUUUGUAGAUCAAUACAAGCAUAACAUAUUUUUAAGCAGUUUGCGAAACUGAGACACAAUGAGUCCACAAAUCAUCACUUUUCUUCAAAUACUCUGUUUCGUGGGCAACUAAAUGCGGCUUCUCAGCAAUAUAUUUGAUAAGAGUAUCGUGACACAUUUUUCCUUCUUGUACAAGAUCAUGACAACAUGCAUCAGUGAUGGUUAAAUUUUCAAAGACAACACCAAUUAUAUCCAACGCACAUUUUGGACUGAUUUUAAGAAGACAGGUAUCCCAUAGUGAUUUUGCUUCAGCUUCUUCAACAGAGAAUGCAGGAACGAACGCACAAAUCAAAGCAACAACAAUGAAUACGAUAGUAGUUCGGGAAGAAGUGUGAGCCAUUGUGCCAAUGUUUUCGAAAUAAGUCGCAAAUGUUAUUAAUAUAAUAUAUUAAAAUGUUUGUAUCUGGUAUUUUAGAAUGAAAUUUUGUCUCAUAUUUAUAAGAGAUUAAACACUCAAACACAAACAUAAACGUAUUUUCAAGUGAACAUAAGAAAUUAAUUAAUGCAGUUUAACGUUAAAUAAAAUGUGACCGUUAAUAUGAGUUUUCUCUAACAUAUUUAGAAAAUUUAGAAAAAAUAAAUAUACUUAUUGUUUAAACUAAAUACUAUCAAAAUAGAAUAUUUCUAAAUUAUUAAUGUUUUAAGUUAUUUUGUUGUUAAGAAAUAACCUGCCAAUCGAAUUUAACCAUUGUUUAUACGUAUUCUCAACUUUCUGUAAAUGCUAAUACGCUCCAACAUUUACAUAAAUUUGGGUUUACAAAUGUGAAUUUAAUCGAGUAUGGAUUGUCCAUUAUCGCGUAUCUUUAUUUUGUAAGAAUUUACUACUAGAAGAAAUUAUAUAGCUAAACCAUAACCAGUAUACACAUUAUGUAGAUAUAAUUUCUUAGAAAAGAAACUGGAACUGGCGAAAAACAAUAUUAGAGUUAAACAAUUAAUUUGCAAAAAUUAAAGGGUUGUAAUGUAUUAAAAAUUCUGAACCCAAAUCUACAAAUUGUAAUAAAUGAAACAAAAAAUGUGUAUAAUUUUGUUUCCAAAACUUUUAUGAUGGAUUUAAAACUCAAAUCCAUACGCUCCAUCCUAAUAUCAUUGGCAUAAGUUAUUAUCUACUUACUAGUCAUAGGAUAUUGUUCUUUUUUGUGAUUACAUCCAGUCUCAUUGUGUUCUUUGUAAAUGAUCGUAUUUACAAAAUCGUCGACAACAUGAGUAUUCAAAAUAGUUUUUUUUUCCAAGCCAUUAUAUUAGCAUGUACUACUAAACUCAAAGGUUUCGAAGGUGAAACAUUAGAUAUUUUCUUUGCUCCUUGUUUUAAAUUAUCCAAGAUAAUUUUCAGUGUAUGUAAAAAUAAUGAUUGAAAUCGUAGAGGAAAAUUAAUUUUUAAAAUUAAAGAUAAGUUAAGUCAAAGUAAUUAAGCAAUAUUGUUUGAAAUUAUUCAUAUAUGUCUUGUUAUUAGUUUAACAAUCUUGUAUGGUUAGCACAUUGUUUUUCAAUUGAGUUAAUAUAUGUAUUGAUUCAUUUAGAAUGAGAUUCACUUGAUGGUCGCUUUAUAUUGCAUACUGUUUGAUCCACGAUUUUUGAUCAAAUAAAAUUUAACGAUAGUUAAAUAAAAAUUUGUAGAUCAAUACAAGCAUAACAUAUUUUUAGGCAGUUUGCAAAACUGAGACACAAUGAGUCCACAAAUCAUCACUUUUCUUCAAAUACUCUGUUUCGUGGGCAACUAAAUGCGGCUUCUCAGCAAUAUAUUUGAUAAGAGUAUCGUGACACAUUUUUCCUUCUUGUACAAGAUCAUGACAACAUGCAUCAGUGAUGGUUAAAUUUUCAAAGACAACACCAAUUAUAUCCAACGCACAUUUUGGACUGAUUUUAAGAAGACAGGUAUCCCAUAGUGAUUUUGCUUCAGCUUCUUCAACAGAGAAUGCAGGAACGAACGCACAAAUUAAAGCAACAACAAUGAAUACGAUAGUAGUUCGGGAAGAAGUGUGAGCCAUUGUGCCAAUGUUUUCGAAAUAAGUCGCAAAUGUUAUUAAUAUAAUAUAUUAAAAUGUUUGUAUCUGGUAUUUUAGAAUGAAAUUUUGUCUCAUAUUUAUAAGAGAUUAAACACUCAAACACAAACAUAAACGUAUUUUCAAGUGAACAUAAGAAAUUAAUUAAUGCAGUUUAACGUUAAAUAAAAUGUGACCGUUAAUAUGAGUUUUCUCUAACAUAUUUAGAAAAUUUAGAAAAAAUAAAUAUACUUAUUGUUUAAACUAAAUACUAUCAAAAUAGAAUAUUUCUAAAUUAUUAAUGUUUUAAGUUAUUUUGUUGUUAAGAAAUAACCUGCCAAUCGAAUUUAACCAUUGUUUAUACGUAUUCUCAACUUUCUGUAAAUGCUAAUACGCUCCAACAUUUACAUAAAUUUGGGUUUACAAAUGUGAAUUUAAUCGAGUAUGGAUUGUCCAUUAUCGGGUAUCUUUAUUUUGUAAGAAUUUACUACUAGAAGAAAUUAUAUAGCUAAACCAUAACCAGUAUACACAUUAUGUAGAUAUAAUUUCUUAGAAAAGAAACUGGAACUGGCGAAAAACAAUAUUAGAGUUAAACAAUUAAUUUGCAAAAAUUAAAGGGUUGUAAUGUAUUAAAAAUUCUGAACCCAAAUCUACAAAUUGUAAUAAAUGAAACAAAAAAUGUGUAUAAUUUUGUUUCCAAAACUUUUAUGAUGGAUUUAAAACUCAAAUCCAUACGCUCCAUCCUAAUAUCAUUGGCAUAAGUUAUUAUCUACUUACUAGUCAUAGGAUAUUGUUCUUUUUUGUGAUUACAUCCAGUCUCAUUGUGUUCUUUGUAAAUGAUCGUAUUUACAAAAUCGUCGACAACAUGAGUAUUCAAAAUAGUUUUUUUUUCCAAGCCAUUAUAUUAGCAUGUACUACUAAACUCAAAGGUUUCGAAGGUGAAACAUUAGAUAUUUUCUUUGCUCCUUGUUUUAAAUUAUCCAAGAUAAUUUUCAGUGUAUGUAAAAAUAAUGAUUGAAAUCGUAGAGGAAAAUUAAUUUUUAAAAUUAAAGAUAAGUUAAGUCAAAGUAAUUAAGCAAUAUUGUUUGAAAUUAUUCAUAUAUGUCUUGUUAUUAGUUUAACAAUCUUGUAUGGUUAGCACAUUGUUUUUCAAUUGAGUUAAUAUAUGUAUUGAUUCAUUUAGAAUGAGAUUCACUUGAUGGUCGCUUUAUAUUGCAUACUGUUUGAUCCACGAUUUUUGAUCAAAUAAAAUUUAACGAUAGUUAAAUAAAAAUUUGUAGAUCAAUACAAGCAUAACAUAUUUUUAGGCAGUUUGCAAAACUGAGACACAAUGAGUCCACAAAUCAUCACUUUUCUUCAAAUACUCUGUUUCGUGGGCAACUAAAUGCGGCUUCUCAGCAAUAUAUUUGAUAAGAGUAUCGUGACACAUUUUUCCUUCUUGUACAAGAUCAUGACAACAUGCAUCAGUGAUGGUUAAAUUUUCAAAGACAACACCAAUUAUAUCCAACGCACAUUUUGGACUGAUUUUAAGAAGACAGGUAUCCCAUAGUGAUUUUGCUUCAGCUUCUUCAACAGAGAAUGCAGGAACGAACGCACAAAUCAAAGCAACAACAAUGAAUACGAUAGUAGUUCGGGAAGAAGUGUGAGCCAUUGUGCCAAUGUUUUCGAAAUAAGUCGCAAAUGUUAUUAAUAUAAUAUAUUAAAAUGUUUGUAUCUGGUAUUUUAGAAUGAAAUUUUGUCUCAUAUUUAUAAGAGAUUAAACACUCAAACACAAACAUAAACGUAUUUUCAAGUGAACAUAAGAAAUUAAUUAAUGCAGUUUAACGUUAAAUAAAAUGUGACCGUUAAUAUGAGUUUUCUCUAACAUAUUUAGAAAAUUUAGAAAAAAUAAAUAUACUUAUUGUUUAAACUAAAUACUAUCAAAAUAGAAUAUUUCUAAAUUAUUAAUGUUUUAAGUUAUUUUGUUGUUAAGAAAUAACCUGCCAAUCGAAUUUAACCAUUGUUUAUACGUAUUCUCAACUUUCUGUAAAUGCUAAUACGCUCCAACAUUUACAUAAAUUUGGGUUUACAAAUGUGAAUUUAAUCGAGUAUGGAUUGUCCAUUAUCGGUAUCUUUAUUUUGUAAGAAUUUACUACUAGAAGAAAUUAUAUAGCUAAACCAUAACCAGUAUACACAUUAUGUAGAUAUAAUUUCUUAGAAAAGAAACUGGAACUGGCGAAAAACAAUAUUAGAGUUAAACAAUUAAUUUGCAAAAAUUAAAGGGUUGUAAUGUAUUAAAAAUUCUGAACCCAAAUCUACAAAUUGUAAUAAAUGAAACAAAAAAUGUGUAUAAUUUUGUUUCCAAAACUUUUAUGAUGGAUUUAAAACUCAAAUCCAUACGCUCCAUCCUAAUAUCAUUGGCAUAAGUUAUUAUCUACUUACUAGUCAUAGGAUAUUGUUCUUUUUUGUGAUUACAUCCAGUCUCAUUGUGUUCUUUGUAAAUGAUCGUAUUUACAAAAUCGUCGACAACAUGAGUAUUCAAAAUAGUUUUUUUUUCCAAGCCAUUAUAUUAGCAUGUACUACUAAACUCAAAGGUUUCGAAGGUGAAACAUUAGAUAUUUUCUUUGCUCCUUGUUUUAAAUUAUCCAAGAUAAUUUUCAGUGUAUGUAAAAAUAAUGAUUGAAAUCGUAGAGGAAAAUUAAUUUUUAAAAUUAAAGAUAAGUUAAGUCAAAGUAAUUAAGCAAUAUUGUUUGAAAUUAUUCAUAUAUGUCUUGUUAUUAGUUUAACAAUCUUGUAUGGUUAGCACAUUGUUUUUCAAUUGAGUUAAUAUAUGUAUUGAUUCAUUUAGAAUGAGAUUCACUUGAUGGUCGCUUUAUAUUGCAUACUGUUUGAUCCACGAUUUUUGAUCAAAUAAAAUUUAACGAUAGUUAAAUAAAAAAUUUGUAGAUCAAUACAAGCAUAACAUAUUUUUAAGCAGUUUGCAAAACUGAGACACAAUGAGUCCACAAAUCAUCACUUUUCUUCAAAUACUCUGUUUCGUGGGCAACUAAAUGCGGCUUCUCAGCAAUAUAUUUGAUAAGAGUAUCGUGACACAUUUUUCCUUCUUGUACAAGAUCAUGACAACAUGCAUCAGUGAUGGUUAAAUUUUCAAAGACAACACCAAUUAUAUCCAACGCACAUUUUGGACUGAUUUUAAGAAGACAGGUAUCCCAUAGUGAUUUUGCUUCAGCUUCUUCAACAGAGAAUGCAGGAACGAACGCACAAAUCAAAGCAACAACAAUGAAUACGAUAGUAGUUCGGGAAGAAGUGUGAGCCAUUGUGCCAAUGUUUUCGAAAUAAGUCGCAAAUGUUAUUAAUAUAAUAUAUUAAAAUGUUUGUAUCUGGUAUUUUAGAAUGAAAUUUUGUCUCAUAUUUAUAAGAGAUUAAACACUCAAACACAAACAUAAACGUAUUUUCAAGUGAACAUAAGAAAUUAAUUAAUGCAGUUUAACGUUAAAUAAAAUGUGACCGUUAAUAUGAGUUUUCUCUAACAUAUUUAGAAAAUUUAGAAAAAAUAAAUAUACUUAUUGUUUAAACUAAAUACUAUCAAAAUAGAAUAUUUCUAAAUUAUUAAUGUUUUAAGUUAUUUUGUUGUUAAGAAAUAACCUGCCAAUCGAAUUUAACCAUUGUUUAUACGUAUUCUCAACUUUCUGUAAAUGCUAAUACGCUCCAACAUUUACAUAAAUUUGGGUUUACAAAUGUGAAUUUAAUCGAGUAUGGAUUGUCCAUUAUCGGUAUCUUUAUUUUGUAAGAAUUUACUACUAGAAGAAAUUAUAUAGCUAAACCAUAACCAGUAUACACAUUAUGUAGAUAUAAUUUCUUAGAAAAGAAACUGGAACUGGCGAAAAACAAUAUUAGAGUUAAACAAUUAAUUUGCAAAAAUUAAAGGGUUGUAAUGUAUUAAAAAUUCUGAACCCAAAUCUACAAAUUGUAAUAAAUGAAACAAAAAAUGUGUAUAAUUUUGUUUCCAAAACUUUUAUGAUGGAUUUAAAACUCAAAUCCAUACGCUCCAUCCUAAUAUCAUUGGCAUAAGUUAUUAUCUACUUACUAGUCAUAGGAUAUUGUUCUUUUUUGUGAUUACAUCCAGUCUCAUUGUGUUCUUUGUAAAUGAUCGUAUUUACAAAAUCGUCGACAACAUGAGUAUUCAAAAUAGUUUUUUUUUCCAAGCCAUUAUAUUAGCAUGUACUACUAAACUCAAAGGUUUCGAAGGUGAAACAUUAGAUAUUUUCUUUGCUCCUUGUUUUAAAUUAUCCAAGAUAAUUUUCAGUGUAUGUAAAAAUAAUGAUUGAAAUCGUAGAGGAAAAUUAAUUUUUAAAAUUAAAGAUAAGUUAAGUCAAAGUAAUUAAGCAAUAUUGUUUGAAAUUAUUCAUAUAUGUCUUGUUAUUAGUUUAACAAUCUUGUAUGGUUAGCACAUUGUUUUUCAAUUGAGUUAAUAUAUGUAUUGAUUCAUUUAGAAUGAGAUUCACUUGAUGGUCGCUUUAUAUUGCAUACUGUUUGAUCCACGAUUUUUGAUCAAAUAAAAUUUAACGAUAGUUAAAUAAAAAAUUUGUAGAUCAAUACAAGCAUAACAUAUUUUUAGGCAGUUUGCAAAACUGAGACACAAUGAGUCCACAAAUCAUCACUUUUCUUCAAAUACUCUGUUUCGUGGGCAACUAAAUGCGGCUUCUCAGCAAUAUAUUUGAUAAGAGUAUCGUGACACAUUUUUCCUUCUUGUACAAGAUCAUGACAACAUGCAUCAGUGAUGGUUAAAUUUUCAAAGACAACACCAAUUAUAUCCAACGCACAUUUUGGACUGAUUUUAAGAAGACAGGUAUCCCAUAGUGAUUUUGCUUCAGCUUCUUCAACAGAGAAUGCAGGAACGAACGCACAAAUCAAAGCAACAACAAUGAAUACGAUAGUAGUUCGGGAAGAUGUGUGAGCCAUUGUGCCAAUGUUUUCGAAAUAAGUCGCAAAUGUUAUUAAUAUAAUAUAUUAAAAUGUUUGUAUCUGGUAUUUUAGAAUGAAAUUUUGUCUCAUAUUUAUAAGAGAUUAAACACUCAAACACAAACAUAAACGUAUUUUCAAGUGAACAUAAGAAAUUAAUUAAUGCAGUUUAACGUUAAAUAAAAUGUGACCAUUAAUAUGAGUUUUCUCUAACAUAUUUAGAAAAUUUAGAAAAAAUAAAUAUACUUAUUGUUUAAACUAAAUACUAUCAAAAUAGAAUAUUUCUAAAUUAUUAAUGUUUUAAGUUAUUUUGUUGUUAAGAAAUAACCUGCCAAUCGAAUUUAACCAUUGUUUAUACGUAUUCUCAACUUUCUGUAAAUGCUAAUACGCUCCAACAUUUACAUAAAUUUAGGUUUACAAAUGUGAAUUUAAUCGAGUAUGGAUUGUCCAUUAUCGGGUAUCUUUAUUUUGUAAGAAUUUACUACUAGAAGAAAUUAUAUAGCUAAACCAUAACCAGUAUACACAUUAUGUAGAUAUAAUUUCUUAGAAAAGAAACUGGAACUGGCGAAAAACAAUAUUAGAGUUAAACAAUUAAUUUGCAAAAAUUAAAGGGUUGUAAUGUAUUAAAAAUUCUGAACCCAAAUCUACAAAUUGUAAUAAAUGAAACAAAAAAUGUGUAUAAUUUUGUUUCCAAAACUUUUAUGAUGGAUUUAAAACUCAAAUCCAUACGCUCCAUCCUAAUAUCAUUGGCAUAAGUUAUUAUCUACUUACUAGUCAUAGGAUAUUGUUCUUUUUUGUGAUUACAUCCAGUCUCAUUGUGUUCUUUGUAAAUGAUCGUAUUUACAAAAUCGUCGACAACAUGAGUAUUCAAAAUAGUUUUUUUUUCCAAGCCAUUAUAUUAGCAUGUACUACUAAACUCAAAGGUUUCGAAGGUGAAACAUUAGAUAUUUUCUUUGCUCCUUGUUUUAAAUUAUCCAAGAUAAUUUUCAGUGUAUGUAAAAAUAAUGAUUGAAAUCGUAGAGGAAAUUAAUUUUUAAAAUUAAAGAUAAGUUAAGUCAAAGUAAUUAAGCAAUAUUGUUUGAAAUUAUUCAUAUAUGUCUUGUUAUUAGUUUAACAAUCUUGUAUGGUUAGCACAUUGUUUUUCAAUUGAGUUAAUAUAUGUAUUGAUUCAUUUAGAAUGAGAUUCACUUGAUGGUCGCUUUAUAUUGCAUACUGUUUGAUCCACGAUUUUUGAUCAAAUAAAAUUUAACGAUAGUUAAAUAAAAAAUUGUAGAUCAAUACAAGCAUAACAUAUUUUUAAGCAGUUUGCAAACUGAGACACAAUGAGUCCACAAAUCAUCACUUUCUUCUUCAAAUACUCUGUUUCGUGGGCAACUAAAUGCGGCUUCUCAGCAAUAUAUUUGAUAAGAGUAUCGUGACACAUUUUUCCUUCUUGUACAAGAUCAUGACAACAUGCAUCAGUGAUGGUUAAAUUUUCAAAGACAACACCAAUUAUAUCCAACGCACAUUUUGGACUGAUUUUAAGAAGACAGGUAUCCCAUAGUGAUUUUGCUUCAGCUUCUUCAACAGAGAAUGCAGGAACAACAAAUCAGCAACAACAUGAAUACGAUAGUAGUUCGGGAGAGUUGAGCCAUUGUGCCUAAUGUUUUCGAAAUAAGUCGCAAAUGUUAUUAAUAUAAUAUAUUAAAAUGUUUGUAUCUGGUAUUUAGAAUGAAAUUUUGUCUCAUAUUUACCAUAACCAGUAUACACAUUAUGUAGAUAUAAUUUCUUAGAAAAGAAACUGGAACUGGCGAAAAACAAUAUUAGAGUUAAACAAUUAAUUUGCAAAAAUUAAAGGGUUGUAAUGUAUUAAAAAUUCUGAACCCAAAUCUACAAAUUGUAAUAAAUGAAACAAAAAAUGUGUAUAUUUUGUUUCCAAAAUUUUUAUGAUGGAUUUAAAACUCAAAUCCAUACGCUCCAUCCUAAUAUCAUUGGCAUAAGUUAUUAUCUACUUACUAGUCAUAGGAUAUUGUUCUUUUUUGUGAUUACAUCCAGUCUCAUUGUGUUCUUUGUAAAUGAUCGUAUUUACAAAAUCGUCGACAACAUGAGUAUUCAAAAUAGUUUUUUUUUCCAAGCCAUUAUAUUAGCAUGUACUACUAAACUCAAAGGUUUCGAAGGUGAAACAUUAGAUAUUUUCUUUGCUCCUUGUUUUAAAUUAUCCAAGAUAAUUUUCAGUGUAUGUAAAAAUAAUGAUUGAAAUCGUAGAGGAAAAUUAAUUUUUAAAAUUAAAGAUAAGUUAAGUCAAAGUAAUUAAGCAAUAUUGUUUGAAAUUAUUCAUAUAUGUCUUGUUAUUAGUUUAACAAUCUUGUAUGGUUAGCACAUUGUUUUUCAAUUGAGUUAAUAUAUGUAUUGAUUCAUUUAGAAUGAGAUUCACUUGAUGGUCGCUUUAUAUUGCAUACUGUUUGAUCCACGAUUUUUGAUCAAAUAAAAUUUAACGAUAGUUAAAUAAAAAAUUUGUAGAUCAAUACAAGCAUAACAUAUUUUUUAGGCAGUUUGCAAAACUGAGACACAAUGAGUCCACAAAUCAUCACUUUUCUUCAAAUACUCUGUUUCGUGGGCAACUAAAUGCGGCUUCUCAGCAAUAUAUUUGAUAAGAGUAUCGUGACACAUUUUUCCUUCUUGUACAAGAUCAUGACAACAUGCAUCAGUGAUGGUUAAAUUUUCAAAGACAACACCAAUUAUAUCCAACGCACAUUUUGGACUGAUUUUAAGAAGACAGGUAUCCCAUAGUGAUUUUGCUUCAGCUUCUUCAACAGAGAAUGCAGGAACGAACGCACAAAUCAAAGCAACAACAAUGAAUACGAUAGUAGUUCGGGAAGAAGUGUGAGCCAUUGUGCCAAUGUUUUCGAAAUAAGUCGCAAAUGUUAUUAAUAUAAUAUAUUAAAAUGUUUGUAUCUGGUAUUUUAGAAUGAAAUUUUGUCUCAUAUUUAUAAGAGAUUAAACACUCAAACACAAACAUAAACGUAUUUUCAAGUGAACAUAAGAAAUUAAUUAAUGCAGUUUAACGUUAAAUAAAAUGUGACCGUUAAUAUGAGUUUUCUCUAACAUAUUUAGAAAAUUUAGAAAAAAUAAAUAUACUUAUUGUUUAAACUAAAUACUAUCAAAAUAGAAUAUUUCUAAAUUAUUAAUGUUUUAAGUUAUUUUGUUGUUAAGAAAUAACCUGCCAAUCGAAUUUAACCAUUGUUUAUACGUAUUCUCAACUUUCUGUAAAUGCUAAUACGCUCCAACAUUUACAUAAAUUUGGGUUUACAAAUGUGAAUUUAAUCGAGUAUGGAUUGUCCAUUAUCGGGUAUCUUUAUUUUGUAAGAAUUUACUACUAGAAGAAAUUAUAUAGCUAAACCAUAACCAGUAUACACAUUAUGUAGAUAUAAUUUCUUAGAAAGAAACUGGAACUGGAACUGGCGAAAAACAAUAUUAGAGUUAAACAAUUAAUUUGCAAAAAUUAAAGGGUUGUAAUGUAUUAAAAAUUCUGAACCCAAAUCUACAAAUUGUAAUAAAUGAAACAAAAAAUGUGUAUAAUUUUGUUUCCAAAACUUUUAUGAUGGAUUAAAACUCAAAUCCAUACGCUCCAUCCUAAUAUCAUUGGCAUAAGUUAUUAUCUACUUACUAGUCAUAGGAUAUUGUUCUUUUUUGUGAUUACAUCCCAGUCUCAUUGUGUUCUUUGUAAAUGAUCGUAUUUACAAAAUCGUCGACAACAUGAGUAUUCAAAAUAGUUUUUUUUUCCAAGCCAUUAUAUUAGCAUGUACUACUAAACUCAAAGGUUUCGAAGGUGAAACAUUAGAUAUUUUCUUAGCUCCUUGUUUUAAAUUAUCCAAGAUAAUUUUCAGUGUAUGUAAAAAUAAUGAUUGAAAUCGUAGAGGAAAAUUAAUUUUUAAAAUUAAAGAUAAGUUAAGUCAAAGUAAUUAAGCAAUACUGUUUGAAAUUAUUCAUAUAUGUCUUGUUAUUAGUUUAACAAUCUUGUAUGGUUAGCACAUUGUUUUUCAAUUGAGUUAAUAUAUGUAUUGAUUCAUUUAGAAUGAGAUUCACUUGAUGGUCGCUUUAUAUUGCAUACUGUUUGAUCCACGAAUUUUGAUCAAAUAAAAUUUAACGAUAGUUAAAUAAAAAAUUUGUAGAUCAAUACAAGCAUAACAUAUUUUUAAGCAGUUUGCGAAACUGAGACACAAUGAGUCCACAAAUCAUCACUUUUCUUCAAAUACUCUGUUUCGUGGGCAACUAAAUGCGGCUUCUCAGCAAUAUAUUUGAUAAGAGUAUCGUGACACAUUUUUCCUUCUUGUACAAGAUCAUGACAACAUGCAUCAGUGAUGGUUAAAUUUUCAAAGACAAUACCAAUUAUAUCCAACGCACAUUUUGGACUGAUUUUAAGAAGACAGGUAUCCCAUAGUGAUUUUGCUUCAGCUUCUUCAACAGAGAAUGCAGGAACGAACGCACAAAUCAAAGCAACAACAAUGAAUACGAUAGUAGUUCGGGAAGAAGUGUGAGCCAUUGUGCCAAUGUUUUCGAAAUAAGUCGCAAAUGUUAUUAAUAUAAUAUAUUAAAAUGUUUGUAUCUGGUAUUUUAGAAUGAAAUUUUGUCUCAUAUUUAUAAGAGAUUAAACACUCAAACACAAACAUAAACGUAUUUUCAAGUGAACAUAAGAAAUUAAUUAAUGCAGUUUAACGUUAAAUAAAAUGUGACCGUUAAUAUGAGUUUUCUCUAACAUAUUUAGAAAUUUAGAAAAAAUAAAUAUACUUAUUGUUUAAACUAAAUACUAUCAAAAUAGAAUAUUUCUAAAUUAUUAAUGUUUUAAGUUAUUUUGUUGUUAAGAAAUAACCUGCCAAUCGAAUUUAACCAUUGUUUAUACGUAUUCUCAACUUUCUGUAAAUGCUAAUACGCUCCAACAUUUACAGAAAUUUGGGUUUACAAAUGUGAAUUUAAUCGAGUAUGGAUUGUCCAUUAUCGGGUAUCUUUAUUUUGUAAGAAUUUACUACUAGAAGAAAUUAUAUAGCUAAACCAUAACCAGUAUACACAUUAUGUAGAUAUAAUUUCUUAGAAAAGAAACUGGAACUGGCGAAAAACAAUAUUAGAGUUAAACAUUAAUUUGCAAAAAUUAAAAGGUUGUAAUGUAUUAAAAAUUCUGAACCCAAAUCUACAAAUUGUAAUAAAUGAAACAAAAAAUGUUUAUAAUUUUGUUUCCAAAACUUUUAUGAUGGAUUUAAAACUCAAAUCCAUACGCUCCAUCCUAAUAUCAUUGGCAUAAGUUAUUAUCUACUUACUAGUCAUAGGAUAUUGUUCUUUUUUGUGAUUACAUCCAGUCUCAUUGUGUUCUUUGUAAAUGAUCGUAUUUACAAAAUCGUCGACAACAUGAGUAUUCAAAAUAGUUUUUUUUUUCCAAGCCAUUAUAUUAGCAUGUACUACUAAACUCAAAGGUUGCGAAGGUGAAACAUUAGAUAUUUUCUUUGCUCCUUGUUUUAAAUUAUCCAAGAUAAUUUUCAGUGUAUGUAAAAAUAAUGAUUGAAAUCGUAGAGGAAAAUUAAUUUUUAAAAUUAAAGAUAAGUUAAGUCAAAGUAAUUAAGCAAUAUUGUUUGAAAUUAUUCAUAUAUGUCUUGUUAUUAGUUUAACAAUCUUGUAUGGUUAGCACAUUGUUUUUCAAUUGAGUUAAUAUAUGUAUUGAUUCAUUUAGAAUGAGAUUCACUUGAUGGUCGCUUUAUAUUGCAUACUGUUUGAUCCACGAUUUUUGAUCAAAUAAAAUUUAACGAUAGUUAAAUAAAAAAUUUGUAGAUCAAUACAAGCAUAACAUAUUUUUAGGCAGUUUGCGAAACUGAGACACAAUGAGUCCACAAAUCAUCACUUUUCUUCAAAUACUCUGUUUCGUGGGCAACUAAAUGCGGCUUCUCAGCAAUAUAUUUGAUAAGAGUAUCGUGACACAUUUUGAGACACAAUGAGUCCACAAAUCAUCACUUUUCUUCAAAUACUCUGUUUCGUGGGCAACUAAAUGCGGCUUCUCAGCAAUAUAUUUGAUAAGAGUAUCGUGACACACUUCAAAUACUCUGUUUCGUGGGCAACUAAAUGCGGCUUCUCAGCAAUAUAUUUGAUAAGAGUAUCGUGACACAUUUUUCCUUCUUGUACAAGAUCAUGACAACAUGCAUCAGUGAUGGUUAAAUUUUCAAAGACAACACCAAUUAUAUCCAACGCACAUUUUGGACUGAUUUUAGAAGACAGGUAUCCCAUAGUGAUUUUGCUUCAGCUUCUUCAACAGAGAAUGCAGGAACGAACGCACAAAUCAAAGCAACAACAAUGAAUACGAUAGUAGUUCGGGAAGAAGUGUGAGCCAUUGUGCCAAUGUUUUCGAAAUAAGUGGCAAAUGUUAUUAAUAUAAUAUAUUAAAAUGUUUGUAUCUGGUAUUUUAGAAUGAAAUUUUGUCAUAUUUAUAAGAGAUAAAACACUCAAACCCAACAUAAACGUAUUUCAAGUGAACAAGAAAUUAAUUAAUGCAGUUUAACGUUAAAUAAAAUGUGACUGUUAAUAUGAGUUUUCUCUAACAUAUUUAGAAAAUUUAGAAAAAAUAAAUAUACUUAUUUGUUUAAACUAAAUACUAUAAAAUAGCAUAUUUCUAAAUUAUUAAUGUUUUAAGUUAUUUUGUUGUAAGAAAUAACCUGCCAAUCGAAUUUAACCAUUGUUUAUACGUAUUCUCAACUUUCUGUAAAUGCUAAUAGGCUCCAUCAUUUUACAGAAAUUUGGGUUUAAAAAUGUGAAUUUAAUCGAGUACGGAUUGUCAUAUAUCGCGUAUCUUUAUUUUGUAAAAGUUUACUACUAGAAGAAAUUAUAUAGCUAAACCAUAACUAGUAUACACAUUACGUAGAUAUAGUUUCAUAGAAAUGAAACUGGAACUGGCGAAAAAAACACUAAUUGAGUUAAAAAAUUAAUUGGCAAAAUUUAAAGGGUUGUAGUCUAUUAAAAAACUUGAAGCCAAAUCUUGUAAUAAAUGAAACAAAAAAUGUGCACAAUUUUGUUUCCAAAAUUUUUGUGAUGGAUCUAAAACUCAAAUCCAUACGCUCCAUCCUAAUAUCAUUGGCAUAAGUUAUUAUCUACUUACUAGUCAUAGGAUAUUGUUCUUUGCGUGAUUAGAUCCAGUCUCAUUGUUUUCUUUAUAACUAUCGUGUUUACAAAAUCGUCUACAACAUGAGUAUUCGAAAUAGUUUUUUCCAAGCCAUUAUAUUAGCAUGUACUACUAAACUCAAAGGUUUCAAAGGUGAAACAUUAGAUAUUUCUUAGCUUUUUGUUUUAAAUUACCAAGAUAAUUUUCAGUGUACGUAAAAAUAAUGAUUGAAAUCGUAAGGAAAAUAAUUUUUAAAAUUAAAGAUAAGUUAAAUCAAACUAAUUAAGCAAUAUUUUGAAAUUAUUCAUAUAUUCUAGUUAUUAGUUAACAAUCUUGUACGGUUAGCGCAUUGUUGUCAAUUGAGUUAAUAUUUGUAUUGAUUAAUUUAGAAUGAGAUUCACUUGAUGGUCGCUUUACAUUGCAUACAGUUUGAUCCACAAUUUUUAUCAAAUAAAAUUUAACGAUAGUUAAAUAAAAAUUCUGUUAAUCAGAUAAUACAAGCAUAUAUUUUAAGCAGUUUGGCGAAAUUGAGACACAAUGAGUCCACAAAUCAUCACUUUCUUCAAAUACUCUGUUUCGUGGGAACUAAAUGCGGUUCUCAGCUCAGCAAUAUAUUUGAUAAGAGUAUCAGACACAUUUUUCCUUCUUGAACAGAUCAUGACAACAUGCAUCAGUGAUGGUUAAAUUUUCAAAGACAACACUAAUUAUAUCCAACGCACAUUUUGGACUGAUUUUAAGAAGACAUGUAUCCCAUAGUGAUUUUGCUUCAGCUUCUUCAACAGAGAAUGCAGGAACGAACGCACAAAUCAAAGCAACAACAAUGAAUACGAUAGUAGUUCGGGAAGAAGUGUGAGCCAUUGUGAUUGAUAAGAGUAUCGUGACACAUUUUUCCUUCUUGAACAAGAUCAUGACAACAUGCAUCAGUGAUGGUUAAAUUUUCAAAGACAACACCAAUUAUAUCCAACGCACAUUUUGGACUGAUUUUAAGAAGACAUGUAUCCCAUAGUGAUUUUGCUUCAGCUUCUUCAACAGAGAAUGCAGGAACGAACGCACAAAUCAAAGCAACAACAAUGAAUACGAUAGUAGUUCGGGAAGAAGUGUGAGCCAUUGUGACAAUGUUUUCGAAAUAAGUGGCAAAUGUUAU